ACGGGUGAGUAUCACGUGGGCAACCUGCCUGUAAGACUGGGAUAACUUCGGGAAACCGAAGCUAAUACCGGAUAGGAUCUUCUCCUUCAUGGGAGAUGAUUGAAAGAUGGUUUCGGCUAUCACUUACAGAUGGGCCCGCGGUGCAUUAGCUAGUUGGUGAGGUAACGGCUCACCAAGGCAACGAUGCAUAGCCGACCUGAGAGGGUGAUCGGCCACACUGGGACUGAGACACGGCCCAGACUCCUACGGGAGGCAGCAGUAGGGAAUCUUCCGCAAUGGACGAAAGUCUGACGGAGCAACGCCGCGUGAGUGAUGAAGGCUUUCGGGUCGUAAAACUCUGUUGUUAGGGAAGAACAAGUACGAGAGUAACUGCUCGUACCUUGACGGUACCUAACCAGAAAGCCACGGCUAACUACGUGCCAGCAGCCGCGGUAAUACGUAGGUGGCAAGCGUUAUCCGGAAUUAUUGGGCGUAAAGCGCGCGCAGGCGGUUUCUUAAGUCUGAUGUGAAAGCCCACGGCUCAACCGUGGAGGGUCAUUGGAAACUGGGGAACUUGAGUGCAGAAGAGAAAAGCGGAAUUC
rnacentral:rRNA from 1 species